rnacentral:rRNA from 1 species
AGCGAACGCUGGCGGAAUGCUUAACACAUGCAAGUCGCACGGGUGGUUUCGGCCAUUAGUGGCGGACGGGUGAGUAACGCGUAGGAACGUGUCCUGGGAUGGGGGAUAACGCUGGGAAACUGGCGCUAAUACCGCAUAUCUCCUGAGGGAGAAAGCCGCGAGGCGUCUUGGGAGCGGCCUGCGUCCGAUUAGCUUGUUGGUUAGGUAAUGGCUGACCAAGGCGAUGAUCGGUAGCUGGUCUGAGAGGAUGAUCAGCCACACUGGGACUGAGACACGGCCCAGACUCCUACGGGAGGCAGCAGUGGGGAAUAUUGGACAAUGGGCGCAAGCCUGACCCAGCAAUUCCGCGUGGGUGAAGAAGGUCUUCGGAUUGUAAAGCCCUUUCGGCGGGGACGAUGAUGACGGUACCCGCAGAAGAAGCCCCGGCUAACUUCGUGCCAGCCGCCGCGGUAACAC